CACGUCGAAUUUCACGUCCCCUUCUACACAGAAAGUUGUCAUUCACGAUCAAAGCGUUCAGGGCUGUGCUGGAUUUCGGUGACCGUCCGACUUACACCAAAUUCUACGAGUGUUGUGAAUACAUGCGAAUGAAUCGAUGCGAUGCAACGUUUUGCUAAACGAUGGGACCAUCAAAAGGGACGGCUUAACACGAGGAGGACCUAUGGCACUGCGGGGACAAUUUAUAUGCAUAUCUCUAUCUCGUUUGAGUGCACCUACUCACACGUACUGGCUGACACUGACAAGGGAAAAAUAAAGCGGCAGGCGUGUUAGUAGAAGGAAGAAAAUAUGAAGAGAGGAUUUUCACCACAGAAAUGCAUGAGAAAUUUGGUUAGCACCAUGGCAGUAGCGAACUCCAGAAUACGCUCGCAUCGAUUCGUUAUAUUUCUUCGAUCUCCUCUGGGCAAUAUAUAAAAUUACUUUUCGAUUGACAUUUUCUGUCCCCAGUUCGUUUGGAAAACAAAAUAAACUGCAAGUGGUUCA